rnacentral:hammerhead_ribozyme from 1 species
AUCCAGCUGACGAGUUCCAAAUUGGACAAAAAGCGCGUCCUAGAU